GGGUGGUGUCCCAGGAGAGGACAAAGGCCCUGCCGUACGGUCUCCACUCUGUCUGCAUUCUAGAGUCCGGCACAGGCCCUGGCACAUGUGCCCUUCGGAGACCCCGGUGAGCCCCAAGGUGCAGCAGCCUGUAUCGUGUCACUGAGUCCACGACCAGCACUUUCUCUCACGAACCCUCAGGCGGCAAGAGCCCGGGCCCCUCCACCCUCUCGGCCUCCAGAAGUCCAGCCUCUCCGCCAGCCCUCCUCUGGGGCACCUCUUGGGCUUUAGGCCCCUCCCCCAGAGCUUCCCCACCCCUCACCCGCCUCCUGUGGGCUGUGUCGGCUCAACGUGCCACGUGAGCCUCCCCUGCAACGGACCGGGUCUGAGUGGUGCCUCUGCCUCUGCCGGCCCCACAGCCAGGGCCGACCUGCUCCUGGUGGGGGCGGCGGGGGCGAGGGAUGAGGAGUCGGCCUCUGCGCAGCCCUCACUUAGCACACUCGCAACGGACCUUUCCGAAGGAAUUCUUAUCAGGAACCUCCAAGAACACAGAGGGAAGUGGUGAGCCACAGAGGGCCUGGUUUUAGGCCCAGCUCGCCUUCUGCUGGCCGGUGGCCGUGGGAAUGUGCGGUCACCGCAGGCUGGGCUGAUCGCACCCACCCUCCAAUUUGUCUUCCGGUUCGAUGAUAUGUGAAGGUCACUGCGAGGUCAGGCUUGCACGUGGCGCCCGGCACCUGGCCUGGAUUACGGGCUUCGGAGGCUCGGGGUCCCCAUGCCCCAGUGCUGCCGGAGGAAGGAGCUCGAGGCCCAUGUCCCUCAGACGGGGGCCCCAGGGCCCCCACCCCCCCUUCAGCCUGUCUGGGUCCCUGAGCCUCAGUUUGGGGAAUAGUGCGCUACGCGUUUCCGGCCGCAGGGGAGUGGGGGUGUCUCGUCCUCAGAGCGAACCCGACACAAACACGGAGGGUUUUGCCUCAGUGCUCAUGCAAACGUGCACUGUUUCCGUGCGGCCCAUACACGCGGCCGGUCCCGUUGGUUGGCUUGCAUUUUGCCCACGAGAAACGUUAGGUGGAAGUGGAAAGCAAAUGCUGCACCCAGCCGGGCAGACCCGGCCGCGUAGACGCGUGCCAGACACCCGCCGGGCCACGCCCGACCUCGCCUGUCGCAACUUCCCCAGCUGGUUUCCCCGAUAACCGGCAGGCCCCGCCCCGGCACCCCCACCACGGGCGGGCCUUCCAGUAAACACCCCGGUCGUCCUGUGUCCUCACCGGUCGGCACUCGUGCGCCGGGGCACCGUCUUCCCUGGGCUUCUGCCCCCUGUCGCUGAGGGUGGGGACUGGGGGCGGCCAGUGACCGCGCCAGGCCACUGAUUCGUCCCCUGUGGUCUGGCUCCGGCCACCCUUCUCCCCCCCCCCGGCCGGGCUGUUUCUCUGUCCGUUCGCAGCCGCGUCCGACGACGCGUCCCAGCUGCGUGCA